rnacentral:rRNA from 1 species
CCUACGGGAGGCAGCAGUGGGGGAUAUUGCACAAUGGGGGGACCCCUGAUGCAGCGACGCCGCGUGGGUGAAGAAGCGCCUCGGCGCGUAAAGCCCUUUCAGCAGGGAAGAAAAUGACGGUACCUGAAGACGAAGCCCCGGCUAACUAAGUGCCAGCAGCCGCGGUAAUACGUAGGGGGGAAGCGUUAUUCGGAUUUAUGGGGUGUAAAGGGGGCGCAGUAGGCGAUGCAAGCCAGGGGUGAAAGCCCGGGGCCCAACCCCGGGACUGCUGUUGGAACUGCGUGGCUGGAGUGCAGGAGGGGCAGGCGGAAUUCCUGGUGUAGCGGUGAAAUGCGUAGAUAUCAGGAGGAACACCGGUGGCGAAGGCAGCCUGCUGGACUGCAACUGACGUUGAGGCCCGAAAGCGUGGGGAGCAAACAGGAUUAGAUACCCUGGUAGUC